AUUGAACGCUGGCGGCAGGCCUAACACAUGCAAGUCGAACGAGUGGCGGACGGGUGAGUAAUGUCUGGGAAACUGCCUGAUGGAGGGGGAUAACUACUGGAAAAGGUAGCUAAUACCGCAUACCAUCAGAUGUGCCCAGAUGGGAUUAGCUAGUGGGUGGGGUAACGGCUCACCAAGGCGACGAUCCCUAGCGGGUCUGAGAGGAUGACCGGCCCCACGGGAACGGGGACACGGUCCAGCCGCCUACGGGAGGCAGCAGUGGGGAAUAUUGCACAAUGGGCGCAAGCCUGAUGCAGCCAUGCCGCGUGUAUGAAGAAGGCCUUCGGGUUGUAAAGUACUUUCAGCGGGGAGGCGUUACCCGCAGAGGAAGCACCGGCUAACUCCGUGCCAGCCGCCGCGGUAAUUC
rnacentral:rRNA from 1 species